rnacentral:lncRNA from 1 species
UUCGAACUUCUUUCGGACUUCAUCGAUGACCGAGCUUCUCCAGCAGCGGGACUUCUAAAAUUAGAAGUCUCCAUCCGAGCUUCCACGAUAACUGAUCUUCGUCCGAGCUUCUACAAUAAGAAGACUCCUUUCAGACUCAUACAAAAGUCAGAAUACAGCAAAAUUGAAUCUCAGACUCCUCCAACAUUCGACCUUCCACAGCAUCCUCAAGACUCCUC